rnacentral:rRNA from 1 species
CUACGGAGGGUGCAAGCGUUACUCGGAAUCACUGGGCGUAAAGCGCGCGCAGGCGGCUUGAUAAGUUGGAUGUGAAAGCCUACGGCUCAACCGUAGAACUGCAUCCAAAACUGUCAGGCUAGAGUGUGGGAGAGGAAGAUGGAAUUAGUUGUGUAGGGGUAAAAUCCGUAGAGAUAACUAGGAAUACCAAAAGCGAAGGCAAUCUUCUGGAACACUACUGACGCUGAGGCGCGAAGGCGUGGGGAGCAAACAGGAUUAGAAACCCUGGUAGUCC